GAUGAACGCUAGCGGCAGGCUUAACACAUGCAAGUCGAACGGCAGCACAGGUAGCAAUACUGGGUGGCGAGUGGCGCACGGGUGCGUAACGCGUAUGCAACCUACCUCUAUCUGGGAGAUAGCCCGAAGAAAUUCGGAUUAAUACCCCCAUAAUAUAUGUCUUUCGCAUGUUAGACAUAUUAAAGCUUUGGCGGAUAGAGAUGGGCAUGCGUGACAUUAGCUAGUUGGUAAGGUAACGGCUUACCAAGGCUACGAUGUCUAGGGGGUCUGAGAGGAUUAUCCCCCACACUGGUACUGAGACACGGACCAGACUCCUACGGGAGGCAGCAGUGAGGAAUAUUGGACAAUGGGCGAAAGCCUGAUCCAGCCAUGCCGCGUGCAGGAAGACGGCCCUAUGGGGUUGUAAACUGCUUUUUAGUAUGGGGAAUAAACCUCCGAAACGUGUUCGGAGCUGAAGGUACCAUACGAAUAGGAUCGGCUAA
rnacentral:rRNA from 1 species